ACACGAUCCCCCACCAUUCUUAAUAUUUCCUCCCUUUCACAGCCAACCUAGGAAAAACACUGUCUGUUGCUUCCUCUUCCUCACUCCCUCUGACUGCCUCAAACCCUGCAGUCUGGCUUCAUCCCCGCCACUCUCUCCAAGGUCAUCGGCCACCUCUUUGCUGAAAAAUCCAACGGCCUUUUCCCACCUCUUUGGAGCAUUUACCACUGUUGAUCACCUCCCCCAUCCCCCACCCCUUUCUGGAUAUUUCCUCAUCUUCCCGGGUUUUCCUGACCCUGCUCUAUCCCAAACCUCUUAAUUCCCUUUCGACAGGUUUUCCUUAGACUUCUUUGCAGGGUCAUCAUGGAUGUGGGUGUAUUCUAGGGUAGAAGUUAUAGAAUGCUUUAAGCAUUUUACAUUACCUCAUCUGAACCUUCCAACAACCCCGACAGUGGAUGGAGAGCGCGGCGGCCUUGGGGUGAGCAAGAGCGUGGAUUCUAAAGCCGCCUUCCCGGAAGAGGCAUCUCGUCGUCUCCCAGGGCUUCAGUUUUAUCAUCUGCCAAAAAUGGGUCCGAGACCUAUUCACCCUUCGUUCCACGAAUCUCAGUGUAAAAGGGGCUUCAUCCCAUUUCCAGGCAGAGAGCUUCCCAGGGCCAGAUAAUCCCUCAUUAGCCACUUAAUGCUACAAAUAAAUUUUAAUUUAAUUAAAUUGGCUUUAAUACUGGAAGGGACUUUGUUCUUGUUGUGCCCCCAAACAAAACAAAACAAAACAACUGGUGUGCUGCCAUCCUACAAAUACGGACGCAGCAACAUCAAUUUAAACACACCGCCAGUUUUAGCUUCCCUGCCACCCAGCCUGGUAUCGUGGAAAGGCCCCUGGACUCAUAGUACUCAGUUAGAGACUGGGUGUACUGGUUAGUGGUGCCCGGUGUCAGGUUCCUUAUUUACAAAAUGAAAGAAUGAGAUUAGAUGAUCUCCAAGACCCCUUCCAACCGUAAAAUCUUGGUGGCCCUAGGCACAUCACUUCAUCUCUCAGAGUUCCCUCAUUUGUAAAGUGGAAAUAAUAAUAACUGUGCCAUAGGAAUGUUAUGAAAAUCAAAUGAGACAGUUUAUGUAAGUGUGAUGGAGUAAUCAUUGCUGAAUGGAACGUUCACGAGAAUGGAAGAUCUUACAGCCGGACAUGAUCUGGACUCUGCUAGAAGAUGUGCCUUGGGUAUCAGGGUGCAAUCGCUUAUUGGUCUGUCGUCUACCUCAUGGGGGGGUGGGGAUGGAGAGAGGCUUGACAGUGCUCUGAAGGGCAUGCCUGACCAGAUGCUCCUAAGCUGUCCCUGAGAUGAGAGUAGAGGAAGAAGUGCCACUGACCCAGGAAAACUGGUCCAUUUGGUGGACUUUAAUCUGUGUGUACCUCUGAUUCUCUCUCACCCCCACCUCCUUUGCUCCCUAUCUUCUGGCUCCCUUCCCCUACCCCAGCACCCCAACAGGGCGCUAGGGACUUGGUCUCUCCCCUGGUUCCAGUGAAGAGGUGGGGAGAGAUCCUUCUACUUACCUCUUCCGCAGCAACAGUGGUGCCUGUAUAUUACAUGGCAAUGGGAAUAUAUGAUACUUGUCUAAUUGAGUUUGAGACUGGAUUCCCUAGCUACCUCUUCUGCUUUGUGUCUCUUUUCCUGAGCAGAAAACAGUGGUCUUAAGGGAUGGAGGUUAGGAAUUUUUGGGUCCAAGUGCUGAUUGUACAGCAUGAAGUGAUCUCCACAGCAAUACUAAAUAUAGUGUGGGAAGAGAUCUAGAUUUGUAAGUGACACAAAUAGUGCAGGUCAGAAGUGGCUAUCAGUCACACAAGUCUCCCUUGAUGUUUUGCUUUCAUCUCUGUCCGGCUUUGUCUAAACAAUUUACAAGUCUGGAUCUCCUGGAAAACUAUACUCUGGCUUGGGCUUUCUUAGUCCUUUAAUCCCACUACUGUGAAACCAGUGAUCUAUGUGGCAGCUUUUCAUUUGAAAAAAAAUUACUUUAAAAAUGUUUUAUUGAUGCCUUUUGUUUUUACAUCAUUAUCAUUUCCUUUAUUAAAUCCUCCCUACUAACAAAGAAAAACAAGCAUAAAAGUCUCCCACAGAGACCGGGACUAAUAAUGUCUAUAAUAUUCUGUCCUUGUAGGUCCCAAUCUGUGAUGUAAGGAAAAUCGAUAUGUUUCAUUAUCUCUUGUAUUGAGAACUCUCAUGACUUAUUCUACUAUUCAGACUCCAAUUUCCUUUCUGUGAUCCAUUUACAUUGUUGUAG